rnacentral:rRNA from 1 species
GCCAGACUCCUACGGGAGGCAGCAGUGGGGAAUAUUGCACAAUGGGGGGAACCCUGAUCCAGCGACGCCGCGUGAGUGAAGAAGUAUUUCGGUAUGUAAAGCUCUGUCAGCAGGGAAGAAAGAAAUGACGGUACCUGACCAAGAAGCCCCGGCUAACUACGUGCCAGCAGCCGCGGUAAUACGUAGGGGGCAAGCGUUAUCCGGAAUUACUGGGUGUAAAGGGAGCGUAGACGGUGAUGCAAGUCUGGAGUGAAAGGCAGGGGCCCAACCCCCGGACUGCUCUGGAAACUGUGUAACUUGAGUGCAGGAGAGGUAAGCGGAAUUCCUAGUGUAGCGGUGAAAUGCGUAGAUAUUAGGAGGAACACCAGUGGCGAAGGCGGCUUACUGGACUGUAACUGACGUUGAGGCCCGAAAGCGUGGGGAUCAAACAGGAUUAGAUACCCGAGUAC